ensembl:lncRNA
CAUUCUCGCAGCAAGUUACCAUGGAAACCGAACGCGGAAAAAAAAUCGGGGUAGACAGAGCGCGGAGCAGUGACGUAAUGUGAUCGAUUGAAAGUAGUGGGGCUCGGUGGUGAGAGAGAAUCGCAUGCGCUGGCUGCAACUGCUGCACGACUCAGCUAGUGAACAGAGAGGAAGGAGUGUGGAGGAGCAUCCAAUCCACGAGUGGAUCCUGAACAGUUGUUUUUUUGGGCGUAGUGGUGGUGUCAAGAAGAUUGUCUGGAGCACAAGUCGUGAGAGAGAAACACUGUCUUUUAUGUAUCCGGAUGUUUUUUUUGUGCCAGCCAAUAAAGAUCAGAGAUGUAGAAUAUCAGAGUAAAUGGAGUCAUGUUGACUGGAUGUCCCCCAUGGUUUAGAAACUCUUGCUCUACAUGAAGGUGAUGGAUCAUGGGGCAUCAUGAAGGAGGGCCUGCUGGUCUCAGUGACCCCAUCUCCCCCUGAUGUCUGCCACAUGCCAGCCUCUCUGGACCAUAGCUGAAGAUAAGCACCAUGGUCUGACCUCACCUUUGACUGAGUCUCAUCACACUGCUACUCAGUGGGACAGGUGCCUGUGUUUGGAAAGGUGAUGCUUUGAGAGUUUUGGAAGAAAGAGUAUGGGGUCCUGAGGGAGUUUGGUUUGGGGGAGUUUUAGUUUGUUUAAGAGAGGGUCUUUUUUUUUUUUUUUGCCUGGUUGGAUAUUUGUUUUCGAAGAAGGUAAUUGUGGAUAUCAAUGAACAAGAUGGAGUCAGGAGCCGAGGCCCCACUACCCCAGCAGCAGAGGAGGAAGCCAGUGAUGCAUGGCUUGGAUGACCAGAAGAAGUUCAGCAGUUGGCCCCGAUGGGAAGAUGAAGACUCUACCCCUGUGUGUGUGUGUGUCAGCCGCUA